rnacentral:rRNA from 1 species
UGAGAUUUCCCAACUUCGGUUAUAAGAUCCCUCAAAGAUGAUGAGGUGAAUAGGUUCGAGGUGGAAGCGUGGCGACACGUGGAGCUGACGAAUACUAAUCGAUCGAAGACUUAAUCAA